UUAAACACCUGGUAUUGUGUUUACCUGUAUUUGUUUUAUAUAGUGGGUGAUUUUGGAGCACCCACACAGUUUUUUCAGCGGCUAUAAAUUAAUAUGUAACACAUUAAUAAGAACCAAGCACCUAUAACCCACACUUUUGUUUGUAAAUGUACUAUUUUUCUGUCAGUUUGUGUUACGUUCACAAGUCCACUAUUGAUGGACUUUUUUAUUUAUGAUUUAUUGAAAGUGAGCUUUUAAUGUCUUGUGGUUAAUUUACCAUAUGGGUAUUCCAUUUUCCCACAUGUUAUGUUUUUGCAUCCAACUCUCUUCUUUCUAUACAUCACAGGUGUACUCAGUAAGUUCUUUGGGGAAUGUACAAUCGGCACAAAUCUGGUGAUUUACUUCAAUAAUCCUUAGGUUUAUUGGACCCUUUAAAAACUUUUAUUUUUUUUUAAAUACUUUUCAUGUAUCACAAAAUAACAGAAUUUUAGAAUUACAUUUAUCCAUGUAAGUACCAUAGACUAUUUGCAUCAUAGCCAUUACAGUGCGGUGUUAGAGUCCCACAUUCCGUGUACUGUUUUAUUUGUAGUGAUGUAUUAGGCAGUAAUUAUUAUCUAGGGGCAUCUUCACACACGGCAGUAUAACAUUCUCCCUUGCAAUACGGCAAAUUAACAUCAUUAUAUUUUUUAUAUUUCAUACUUUUUUUUUUAUUUAUGCACUCCGGGCCUUGUGCUAGUUUUUUUACUCUUCUGACGCCAACUGUAGCUAAAUAUAAGGCAAAUACAGAGAUGUUUCUAGAUCUAGGGUAAUGAGCCUUUGAAAUUACUGUAUUUUCCUAAUAUAAAGACAGAAAGUAUGCAUUUUGUGGAAGACGUGAGGCAAUCUUUGUGUGUAAGCUCACUCACACCUCUAGGUUGUGUCCACUGACUAAUACAAAUCCCAAUAUAACUGCACAUGUAAAAAUCUGAGCAGAAAGUUUGUACACUUUCACAAUUUUUUCCCACUAGUUCUGACACUCAGGGCCUAACACGCUAUGCAAUUUACCUGAAUCAUUAAAUAUUGGGGAUGCUGAGGGUCGGGGGGGGGGGGGUUACAAUCUUCAUUAUCACAUAGCACUGUGUCUAUGAGAAAGUGCUCUGUUUACAUCUCGUAUGUUUUGUGGGAUAAAACAUAAAUAAUUAUUUGGUUUAGUUGUGCCAAAUUCUUCGUACUGAUAUAAAGAUUGGUAGUAUGGGUGGCUAGACAUUUACUGCACUUCUUUUGCUUUAAGGAAGGGGAAAAGUCAAUGAAAUGCAAAAUCUCAUCAAAUUGAUGUCUAAUUUAUAUAAACUACUUAACUGCCAGGAAAAAUUUUUAUUGGUAUGGAAAUGUGUACAAUUUAUCAUAAAGGAGAAUGCAUACCAAGAUCAUUAAAUAAAAGUGUAAUAAUAAUAUAAAUGGUAUAUUGUGCAUAGAGUACCAGUACCAUUUCAUGCAAGCCUUCAAACACAUCCAGAAUAUGUAGACAAAGUAAAAUGUAUACAACACGGAUAGUAAAGCAAUAACAAGCACACUGGUGGAGCAUGUAGGCAGCAAUACAACCCGACCAGGGAUCUCUGUUUCACAGCUGUAGAAGUGGGAGUAGAGCUCUCAAAGUCCUUAGUUGUAGUAAUAUGAAAAGGGAGAUGAUAGUGUAUUAUAUUUGUUAAAUGAAAGAUAAUAGGUAAGGAAGUGCACUUUCACCUUACGGGGCUAAAGUUUAGCUCCAACAUAUGCGCCUACUAUCACCACUAACAGAUGCAAACAUGCUUUUACUCCUUGGCGGUCACUCCAUAGUAUGUAUAGUAGGCCAAACAAAGAAGAUGAAGACAAUAUGGCAUAGUUAUUAAACUACUAGCUGAGGGUGAGUUGGUAUUUACAAAUUUUCACUCAUGAUUUUCAGGCUUUCUAUUACAAGCAAUGAAUUAUGGGAGUUGUAGUUCAGCAAAAUCUGCAGGGUCAGAGUUAGGAGAACUCAUGUAUUGGGAUACCAUUUCUAGCUACGGCUAUCCCUAUUGAGUACUGCCGUAUUUCCACAAUAAGACUUUAUUAUACGUGAUGAAAUAUACAUGAUUCACACGCUUGUUCAGCAGAUUUCUCAGUGAGGACUAGUCAUUUGGCUCAGCUGUUUUUGGCAAUUUUUUAAUACAUGUAUAUUAAUAAACAUUUUUUAUUUUUUCGAUCUUAUGUUCUUUAUAUCUGAGAUUUGAGAUUCAUCUUUAUCUGUAGCUAUCCUGAUCAUAAUUGGCUAUUUAUCCCAGUGUCCUCGGUUGGUACACUACUUCCACUUUAAACAUUGCUUAGUGAUAUACAUUUGACUUUGAAAUAUUAAGCAGUGUGAAUCAGUGCAAAAACGGCCAGCUUCAUUGGAAAACUGUAAAUUUUUUAUGAGAAAGAAUCUUAGGAAAUUUAGAAUUGUCCUAUUUUAGAAAACAGGAAGCAACAUUUUACCCUUUGCAGACACAAAAAAGUUAAUAAUAUUUGCUUGGGCAUUUAAGUUAUUAAGUAAUAUUCUGGUAAACAAGCCUAUGUGACUGAUUAUGCUAUGUAGUUAUUUUUGGAGUUGUCAUUAUUCAUUAAAAGGAGAGAGAGAUAUAUCCAUGAAAAGGAGAGAUAUAUCCAUGAAAAGGAGAGGGUGUAUGCAACAGUGUACAGACGUUACAGAUAGGGAAUUGACAUUUGAGCCCGAUCGGAAACUCCAAUUGAAAGAGGAAUGUGGAUGAGUGUCUAUAUAGAAGGGAUUUGCAUAUAAAUUGGUGGUAAAAUCCUGUAAAAAAUACUCUAAAAUUAAUCAAGUCACAACUGUCAUGAGCUGUUUAGGCUACUCUCAGCCUGUGGUGGACUGCAGAUUCAUGAGGGUCAUAUAUAGUCAAAACCAAUAUUGUUGUAUUAAAUUCUUUAUAAGUUUGAAAAUUGAAAUGUUGAAAAAUAAAAAUAAAUUCUUGAUAAC
rnacentral:lncRNA from 1 species